AAAGUACCUUUAAGAAUCGAAAUAUUUAUGUGGUUUGUACACAGAGAAGUGAUUCUGACUAAGAAUAACUUGGCAAAGCGAAGAUGGGAGGGCAGUAAAUGAUGUUGUUUUUGUGAUCAAGAUGAAACUAUACAACAUCUCUUUCUCAAAUGUCCUCUCGCCAAGCUAUUAUGGCGUAUCAUUCAUGUAGCACUACUGCAGGAUGUUGCUAACGCGACAAUACGAUCAGAGACCCUUCGAGAAUCUGUGUGCGAUGCAAUAAUCGCAAACGGUGCUGUAUGA
rnacentral:rRNA from 1 species